ACAACAUCUGUUUGUCAUUCUUAAUUCGUUAAUCAAACAUCUAUCAUUAAAUAUCGGCGUGUACCUAUAGGACGAAAGAAAUUUAUGAAGUGUUUUCCAGUUAAUUCAGAUACACAAAGAUGUUUCACAUCAGAAAUUUUACAGAAGCUUCCAUUGAGUGAGUAGCGAAAGAUACACAAAGAUGUUUCACAUCAGAAAUUUUACAGAAGCUUCCAUUGAGUGAGUAGCGAAAGAUUAAUAGAGAUAUGAUUGGUUAAGGAACUACACGUGGUGGAUGUAUAUUUGAUAUAGAAUGUCUUAAAAAUAUAGGGCUUGUUACCGUGCAAGGUUAGUUACCUUAUGGGGUUAGUAAGGAGUUACUUACCUUCCAAAACAAAAAAAGAUGGCACAACCCUUUAU